rfam:Oryza rufipogon genomic scaffold, chr03
AAUAAGUGUAGUUUUGCACUAUUCACGUUCAACGUUUGACCGUUCGUCUUUUUUGAAAAAUUUUUAUGAUUAGUAUUUUUAUUGUUAUUAGAUGAUAAAACAUGAAUAAUAUUUUUUAUGUGACUAAAUAUUUUCAAAUUUUUCGUAAAUUUUUCAAAUAAGAUGGACGGUCAAACGUUGAACACGAAUAUCCAUGGCUGCACUUAUU